rnacentral:rRNA from 1 species
UGGGGGAUAUUGCACAAUGGGCGAAAGCCUGAUGCAGCGACGCCGCGUGGGGGAUGAAGGCCUUCGGGUUGUAAACUUCUUUUGCUCUGAACAAGGCAUGCCUUUGGGGUGUGUUGAGUGUAGGGGUUGAUUAGCGCCGGCUAACUACGUGCCAGCAGCCGCGGUAAUACGUAGGGCGCGAGCGUUGUCCGGAAUUAUUGGGCGUAAAGGGCUUGUAGGUGGCUGGUGCGUCUGUCGUGAAAGCUCAUGGCUUAACUGUGGGUUUGCGGUGGGUACGGGCUGGCUGGAGUGCAGUAGGGGAGGCUGGAAUUCCUGGUGUAGCGGUGGAAUGCGCAGAUAUCAGGAGGAAUACCGGUGGCGAAGGCGGGUCUCUGGGCUGUUACUGACGCUGAGGAGCGAAAGCGUGGGGAGCGAACAGG